rnacentral:rRNA from 1 species
CCGGCACGGGUGAGUAACACGUAUCCAACCUGCCGUCUACUCUUGGACAGCCUUCUGAAAGGAAGAUUAAUACAAGAUGGCAUCAUGAGUCCGCAUGUUCACAUGAUUAAAGGUAUUCCGGUAGACGAUGGGGAUGCGUUCCAUUAGAUAGUAGGCGGGGUAACGGCCCACCUAGUCUUCGAUGGAUAGGGGUUCUGAGAGGAAGGUCCCCCACAUUGGACUGAGACACGGUCCAA